rnacentral:rRNA from 1 species
AGUGAACGCUGGCGGUAGGCCUAACACAUGCAAGUCGAACGGCAGCACAGUAAGAGCUUGCUCUUACGGGUGGCGAGUGGCGGACGGGUGAGGAAUACAUCGGAAUCUACUUUUUCGUGGGGGAUAACGUAGGGAAACUUACGCUAAUACCGCAUACGACCUACGGGUGAAAGCAGGGGAUCUUCGGACCUUGCGCGAUUGAACGAGCCGAUGUCGGAUUAGCUAGUUGGCGGGGUAAAGGCCCACCAAGGCGACGAUCCGUAGCUGGUCUGAGAGGAUGAUCAGCCACACUGGAACUGAGACACGGUCCAGACUCCUACGGGAGGCAGCAGUGGGGAAUAUUUGACAAUGGGCGCAAGCCUGAUCCAGCCAUACCGCGUGGGUGAAGAAGGCCUUCGGGUUGUAAAGCCCUUUUGUUGGGAAAGAAAAGCAGCAGGUUAAUACCCCGCUGUUCUGACGGUACCCAAAGAAUAAGCACCGGCUAACUUCGUG